rnacentral:misc_RNA from 1 species
GAAGGUGAGAUGGGACGAGACUUCUACUAUUUCUCGUCCGGAGAAAGUUUCACCAUGGAAAAUUGAGCCUGCCCUUGCUCCUCCUGCACUGAACCCCCUUCCUAUGACUAGACCUAAGAGGCCUCGAUCAAAUAUGGUAUCUACAUCCCCCGAUUCCUCUGUUCUUACACGAGAAGGUUCAUCAAGAGUGACUGUAGACCCUUCACCAGCCAGUGCAUUUACAAGGGUCUUGCAAGGUCAAGAAU